rnacentral:rRNA from 1 species
UACGAAGGGUGCAAGCGUUACUCGGAAUUACUGGGCGUAAAGGGUGCGUAGGUGGUUGUUUAAGUCUGUUGUGAAAGCCCCGGGCUCAACCUGGGAAUGGCAAUGGAUACUGGACAGCUAGAGUGCGGUAGAGGGUAGUGGAAUUCCCGGUGUAGCAGUGAAAUGCGUAGAGAUCGGGAGGAACACCAGUGGCGAAGGCGGCUACCUGGACCAGCACUGACACUGAAGCAUGAAAGCGUGGGGAGCAAACAGG